UGAGGAAUAUUGGUCAAUGGGCGAGAGCCUGAACCAGCCAAGUAGCGUGCAGGAUGACGGCCCUAUGGGUUGUAAACUGCUUUUAUGUGGGGAUAAAGUGAGCUACGUGUAGUUUAUUGCAGGUACCACAUGAAUAAGGACCAGCUAAUUCCGUGCCAGCAGCCGCGGUAAUACGGAAGGUCCAGGCGUUAUCCGGAUUUAUUGGGUUUAAAGGGAGCGUAGGCCGUGGAUUAAGCGUGUUGUGAAAUGUAGACGCUCAACGUCUGAAUUGCAGCGCGAACUGGUUCACUUGAGUAUGCACAACGUAGGCGGAAUUCGUCGUGUAGCGGUGAAAUGCUUAGAUAUGACGAAGAACUCCGAUUGCGAAGGCAGCUUACGGGAGCACAACUGACGCUGAAGCUCGAAGGUGCGGGUAUCAAACAGGAUUAGAUACCCUGGUAGUCCGCACAGUAAACGAUGGAUGCCCGUUGUUAGUUCACUUAUGAAUUAGCGACCAGGCGAAAGCAUUAAGCAUCCCACCUGGGGAGUACGCCGGCAACGGUG
rnacentral:rRNA from 1 species